GACGAACCGUGCGAACGUUAUUCGGAAUCACUGGGCUUAAAGGGCGCGUAGGCGGGCUGACAAGUCUGGGGUGAAAUGCCGCGGCUCAACCGUGGAACUGCCUUAGAUACUGUCGGCCUCGAGGAAGGUAGGGGCAUGGCGGAACUGUAGGUGGAGCGGUGAAAUGCGUUGAUAUCUACAGGAACUCCGGUGGCGAAAGCGGCGUGCUGGACCUUUUCUGACGCUGAGGCGCGAAAGCUAGGGGAGCAAACGGGG
rnacentral:rRNA from 1 species